AGAACGAACGCUGGCGGCAGGCCUAACACAUGCAAGUCGAGCGCCCAGCAAUGGGAGCGGCGGACGGGUGAGUAACACGUGGGAAUAUGCCUUUCGGUUCGGCACAACUCAGGGAAACUUGAGCUAAUUCCGGAUACGCCCUUACGGGGAAAGAUUUAUCGCCGAAAGAUUAGCCCGCGUUGGAUUAGCUAGUUGGUGAGGUAACGGCCCACCAAGGCGACGAUCCAUAGCUGGUUUGAGAGAACGACCAGCCACACUGGGACUGAGACACGGCCCAGACUCCUACGGGAGGCAGCAGUGGGGAAUCUUGGACAAUGGGGGAAACCCUGAUCCAGCCAUGCCGCGUGAGUGAUGAAGGCCUUCGGGUUGUAAAACUCUUUUGGCGGGGUACGAUAAGUGACGGUACCCGCAGAAUAAGCUCCGGCUAACUUCGCGCCAGCAGCCGC
rnacentral:rRNA from 1 species